rnacentral:rRNA from 1 species
UACGGAGGGGGCUAGCGUUGUUCGGAAUUACUGGGCGUAAAGCGCACGUAGGCGGCUUUGUAAGUUAGCGGUGAAAGCCCGGGGCUCAACUCCGGAACUGCCUUUAAGACUGCAUCGCUUGAAUUGUGGAGAGGUAAGUGGAAUUCCGAGUGUAGAGGUGAAAUUCGUAGAUAUUCGGAAGAACACCAGUGGCGAAGGCGACUUACUGGACACAUAUUGACGCUGAGGUGCGAAAGCGUGGGGAGCAAACAGG